rnacentral:rRNA from 1 species
AACGAACGCUGGCGGCAGGCCUAACACAUGCAAGUCGAGCGCACCUUCGGGUGAGCGGCGGACGGGUUAGUAACGCGUGGGAAUAUACCCUUUGGUACGGAAUAGCCUCUGGAAACGGAGAGUAAUACCGUAUGAGCCCUUCGGGGGAAAGAUUUAUCGCCAAAGGAUUAGCCCGCGUUAGAUUAGGUAGUUGGUGGGGUAAUGGCCUACCAAGCCUACGAUCUAUAGCUGGUUUUAGAGGAUGAUCAGCAACACUGGGACUGAGACACGGCCCAGACUCCUACGGGAGGCAGCAGUGGGGAAUCUUGGACAAUGGGCGCAAGCCUGAUCCAGCCAUGCCGCGUGAGUGAUGAAGGCCUUAGGGUCGUAAAGCUCUUUCGCCUGUGAAGAUAAUGACGGUAGCAGGUAAAGAAACCCCGGCUAACUCCGUGCCAGCAGCCGCGGUAAUACGGAGGGGGUUAGCGUUGUUCGGAAUUACUGGGCGUAAAGCGCACGUAGGCGGACUGGAAAGUUGGGGGUGAAAUCCCAGGGCUCAACCCUGGAACUGCCUCCAAAACUAUCAGUCUAGAGUUCGAGAGAGGUGAGUGGAAUUCCGAGUGUAGAGGUGAAAUUCGUAGAUAUUCGGAGGAACACCAGUGGCGAAGGCGGCUCACUGGCUCGAUACUGACGCUGAGGUGCGAAAGUGUGGGGAGCAAACAGGAUUAGAUACCCUGGUAGUCCACACCGUAAACGAUGAAUGCCAGUCGUCGGGUAGCAUGCUAUUCGGUGACACACCUAACGGAUUAAGC